rnacentral:rRNA from 1 species
GACGAACGCUGGCGGCGUGCUUAACACAUGCAAGUCGAACGGUGAAGCGCCUUCCUUUUUGGUGGGUGUGGAUGAGUGGCGAACGGGUGAGUAACACGUGAGUAACCUGCCCCCUUCUUCUGGAUAACCGCAUGAAAGUGUGGCUAAUACGGGAUAUUCUGGGUCUGUCGCAUGAUGGGUCUGGGAAAGAUAUUGUUUCGGUGGGGGAUGGGCUCGCGGCCUAUCAGCUUGUUGGUGGGGUGAUGGCCUACCAAGGCGGUGACGGGUAGCCGUCCUGAGAGGGUGGACGGUCACACUGGGACUGAGACACGGCCCAGACUCCUACGGGAGGCAGCAGUGGGGAAUAUUGCACAAUGGGCGCAAGCCUGAUGCAGCGACGCCGCGUGAGGGAUGGAGGCCUUCGGGUUGUGAACCUCUUUCGCCAGUGAAGCAGGCCUGCCUCGUUUGUGGGUGGGUUGACGGUAGCUGGAGAAGAAGCGCCGGCUAACUACGUG